rnacentral:rRNA from 1 species
UACGUAGGGGGCAAGCGUUGUCCGGAAUCAUUGGGCGUAAAGCGCGUGUAGGCGGCCCGAUAAGUCCGCUGUGAAAGUCCAGGGCUCAACCCUGGAAUGCCGGUGGAUACUGUCGGGCUCGAGUCCGGAAGAGGCGAGUGGAAUUCCUGGUGUAGCGGUGAAAUGCGUAGAUAUCUGGAGGAACACCGGUGGCGAAGGCGGCAUCCUGGACCGGCAUUGACGCUGAGGAGCGAAAGCGUGGGGAGCAAACAGG